GAGACUCUGUGCGCGUGCAUAUCAAUAAGCGGAGGAAAAGAAACUAACAAGGAUUCCCCUAGUAACGGCGAGUGAAGCGGGAAGAGCUCAAAUUUGAAAUCUUAAAGGGUUUCCCUUUACGAAUUGUAGUUUAAAGAAGUGUUUUCUGUUGGAGUUUCGGUAAAAGUUCUUUGGAAUAGGACAUCAUAGAGGGUGAGAAUCCCGUAUUUGACCGUUACUUUCCAGCUGUGUGAUACACUUUCAAAGAGUCGGAUUGUUUGGGAAUGCAGUCCAAAAUGGGUGGUAAAUUUCAUCUAAAGCUAAAUACUGGCGAGAGACCGAUAGCGAACAAGUACCGUGAGGGAAAGAUGAAAAGAACUUUGAAAAGAGAGUUAAACAGUACGUGAAAUUGUCAAAAGGGAAGCGUUUGACACCAGUGUUGUUUUCUCGAAAAUCAAUUAAAAAUGGUGGGAUUUUGUGUUGUAUUGACCUUAUAAGCUUUCUGCACUUUUUUCAUAUCUUUUUUAAUGCACUUUUCGUUUAACAAGUCAACAUCAAUUUCUUUUGUUGUAAAAGAGUCAUUGGAAGGUGGCUUUCUUUUCGGAGAAAGUGUUUAUAGCCUUUGACUUCCUGCAGCGGAGAGACUGAGGUCUGCAGCGUAGAUCCUUCUUGGAUUAGAUUCAUUUGUGCUAAGUUAUAGUCCUUUUAUAGACAACUUGUUGACUAUGAUUAGUCAUUGUAGGCUUACUCGCUUAUGCUAUUUUACCUACGCUUAGGAUGUUGAACUCUAUCACACACA
rnacentral:rRNA from 1 species